CACGUAGGGGGCAAGCGUUGUCCGGAUUUACUGGGCGUAAAGAGCGCGCAGGCGGUCGUUCAAGUCGCGUGUGAAAGCCCCCGGCUCAACUGGGGAGGGUCACGCGAUACUGAUCGACUCGAAGGCAGGAGAGGGUAGUGGAAUUCCCGGUGUAGUGGUGAAAUGCGUAGAUAUCGGGAGGAACACCAGUGGCGAAGGCAGCUCGCUGGGACGGUACUGACGCUGAGACGCGAAAGCGUGGGGAGCAAACAGG
rnacentral:rRNA from 1 species